AUGGCGCUGCGUAACCUUGUGACCAGGAUGGGGACCCCGGCCGCCGCCGCUCUCCGGCCGCCGUCGGUAUCCCGCGGGGCGCAGGCGGCGCGCUCUCGGCCCUUCUCCCGUCAGGUUGAACACGAGGAUAUUUCCAAGAUACGUGCUAAAAAGAAGUAUGAGUUCAGUCUGUUCCUCCUUGAACGGUCAGAAAAACAGCUGGAGUCUGCGAAGGUCUGGGCUCAGAGGUUUCAAAGGGCAGACAAGUACCUGGGUUGGACUCUCAAGGUGGUCAUGCCUGCUUCUCUUGUGGCUGUGAUAGCAGGGUCCAAGUAG
rnacentral:rRNA from 1 species